CGCCUUGCCAGCCCGCUCAGAAACUUAAAGGAAUUGACGGGGCCCGCACAAGCGGAGGAGCAUGUGGUUUAAUUCGAUGAUACGCGAGGAACCUUACCUGGGCUCGAACGUAAGAUGACUGUAGGUGAAAGCUUACAUCUCUUCGGAGCAUUUUACGAGGUGCUGCAUGGUUGUCGUCAGCUCGUGCCGUGAGGUGUCGGGUUAAGUCCCAUAACGAGCGCAACCCCUACCUUUAGUUGCCAUCAGGUUAAGCUGGGGACUCUAAAGGAACUGCCUACGCAAGUAGUGAGGAAGGCGGGGACGACGUCAAAUCAGCACGGCCCUUACGUCCAGGGCUACACACGUGCUACAAUGGCCGAUACAGAGGGCAGCUACCUGGUGACAGGAUGCAAAUCUCCAAAGUCGGUCUCAGUUCGGAUCGGAGUCUGCAACCCGACUCCGUGAAGUUGGAUUCGCUAGUAAUCGCGCAUCAGCCAUGGCGCGGUGAAUACGUUCCCGGGCCUU
rnacentral:rRNA from 1 species